CCAUCAUUUAAACUAACGAAGCCCUUUUGAUUCCCUUUCUUCCUCCUAUAUCGACCUCAUCCCCCUCUCUCUCUCUCUUAAUGAUGUGUUUUGGUUGUUAAAAUGAAUCUUUAGGUCACACAUUCAAGAUGCAAGAAAGGCUUGAGUGUUUCUACUUCAGUGAACAGUCGGAAUCAAAAACCCUAGCGGGAGCCAUUUGUCGCCCGCACUAAAGCUAUAGCAUACGCUUCAUUUAGAAUGUGAAUUCUACAUAGCUGUUAAAAGCCAUCGCCUCUUGCGCCUAGGCCAAUUUUUGAGGCGAGGCGAGGCAAUUGCAUUCAAAUUCUCCAGGUGAUGGAUCAGGCGUACAUUCGGGCGAGAUUCCGGAGAGUUUCCGGCAAGAUUCCAGCCAGGUUAGGACAUUAUGUGACAAGGCAAAGGAGAUAUUAAUAGAUGAAAGCAAUGUUCAGGUAUGACUUUUUUUUCUAUUGCGAUUUCAGUAACGGUUGUCGUUAUACUGUAUGGAGUGAUGUACAUUUGCAACCAGUAAAAAGCCCCGUGACUACUUGUGGUGACAUUCAUGGGCAAUUCCAUGAUCUUGCUGAACUUUUUCGUAUUGGAGGAAAGGUAUUAGCAUUAACUCUUUUGAAGGAAACAUGAAGGUCGGGAAUUUAGCUGCACCAGUUGCAGAAUGGACAGUUUGCGGAACUCCAUCGACUUCAUUAAUGGACGUUGAGAGGAGACAUGGUAAAAAAUAAUCAAAUUUGGUGUUUUUUUUUUUUUUUUUAUUAAAAUGAUAUUCAUUUGAAACGAGUCUUAACUCAAUUUUACUAAAACGAAGAAAUUCCAAACCAAAGAGAUUUGCGUUCUAAAUAGUAAUUCGAAAUAAGAAGGAAUUUGUUUAGAGAAUUCGUGUAUUUGAAAAAAAAGAGUUCGCGAUGAUGAUGAUUUGUAUACUCCUGAACUAGAACGCGAGGGGUCAAAUAAGAAACAAAAUAAGUACGAAUGCUUGAAUUACAACAAGGUUUUUACGUCGUUUCAAGGGCUUGGCGGGCAUAGACCGUGUCACAAAAAGAACAAUACGGUCAGGUCAAAACACGACGGUGGCGAAAACAGUUUAGAAGGUGACUUUGCACAUACUCGAAAGGCCGAAAGGCGAAAUACGAUAAGAAAAUGAAGGUGAAAAAGAUCAAAGGGCACGAAUGCCAGAUUUGUUUCAGGAUGUUUAAAUCGGGACAAGCUUUAGGUGGUCACAAACGGUCUCGUUUUAUUAAUGGGUCGAUGGAUCAUUAUGCGACCAUGGGUCACGCGGCUCCAUCGUGUUCGGAUAUGAUUGAUCUUAAUCUUCCUGCUCCAGGAUUGAAUGGUCAACUGGUAAAAAAGUUUAAUUUCUAUUUUGUUGGUUUUUGGAAUAUCAUGAAGUUUCAGAUAGAUCUGACUAUUUGACAAAUAGUGUUGAGCAUAACUCACACAAAACUAACAUUCUCUCAUUUAUGGUGUUAAGUAAAGAUUAUUGGCUCCUCA